UACGGAGGGGGCUAGCGUUAUUCGGAAUUAUUGGGCGUAAAGAGCUCGUAGGCGGUUUGUUGCGUCGGCUGUGAAAUCCCGAGGCUCAACCUCGGGUCUGCAGUCGAUACGAGCAAACUAGAGUGUUGCAGGGGAGACUGGAAUUCCUGGUGUAGCGGUGAAAUGCGCAGAUAUCAGGAGGAACACCGGUGGCGAAGGCGGGUCUCUGGGCAACAACUGACGCUGAGGAGCGAAAGCGUGGGGAGCAAACAGG
rnacentral:rRNA from 1 species